CAACAAACUACAUGACUGCUUUCCCUACUUCUGCCCUGUGGCCUUAGGACACUUAGGCAUAUCCACAGCUCUUCAAAUAAGCAAUGUGAUGUUAGCAAAAGUGCAGGGGCUCCUUGAGAACUUUCCAGGGCUAACCAGCUGCUGAGGAGUGGCCUCCAGGAAAGAGAGAAGCACUCUGAUUCAGGCAGUGAUUUACACCUAAAAUACCAACUCCAUCAUAUCUUCAGAACAAUUCUUCUAGACCUUGCAUCUAAAUAUGG
rnacentral:lncRNA from 1 species